AAACCUUCAAGCACUGCUUGGUGUUGGGUGCCUGUCCCGCCCCCGCGCGUGGACUCACCUCAAAUCCAUUGGCGGCCCUCACGUCGGCUUCGAGCGCAGCAGAAACGCGAACUCGUGGCCCGGCGGAGCGGCUCCCAGAAGCUACUCUCACCA
rnacentral:misc_RNA from 1 species